GCUGUGGUGUUUCAGUGGUAGAAUUCUUGCCUUCCUUGCAGGAGACCUGGGUUUGAUUCCCAACCAAUGCA
rnacentral:tRNA from 1 species